rnacentral:lncRNA from 1 species
GUCUUUUUGCUUAAAAUUGGUUUGCAUAAUAUUCUUUUAAAUUAUUGUUUGUUGUUUGAUUUCUGUUUUAAUACAAGGGAUUAGACUGUUAAAAUCUAUAAAUCGAAUGCUGGGUUGUUGAAUGUAUAAGAUGCUUGUAACAUCAACCAUGUGUUGACAUUGAUGCUUCGUCCGUUUAAGGACAUUCUUCCUAAAGCUUGUUG